rnacentral:rRNA from 1 species
GACGAACGCUGGCGGCGUGCUUAACACAUGCAAGUCGAACGGAAAGGCCCUGCUUUUGUGGGGUUCUCGAGUGGCGAACGUGUGAGUAACAUGUGAGUAAUCUGCCCUUGAUUUUGGGAUAACUUCAGGAAACUGGCUCUUAUACCGGAUAGGAGCUCCUGCUGCAUGGUGGGGGUUGGAAAGUUUCGGCGGUUGGGGAUGGACUGGCGGCUUAUCAGCUUGUUGGUGGGGUAGUGGCUUACCAAGGCUUUGACGGGUAGCCGGCCUGAGAGGGUGACCGGCCAAAUUGGGACGGAGAUACGGCCCAGACUCCUACGGGAGGAAGCAGGGGGGAAAAUUGGAAAAUGGGCGGAAGCGUGUGGCAGCAAGGCGGCGUGCGGAAUAAGGGCUUUCGGGUGGUAAACAGCGUUGGCAGGUGAGAAGACGUGAGUGACGGUAAUAAGAAAAGAAGCAACGGCUAAAUACGUG